rnacentral:rRNA from 1 species
UGCCCACUGAUUUUUUAAAUUAAAGGGCUGCAGUAUAUUGACUGUACAAAGGUAGCAUAAUCAUUAGUCAUUUAAUUGAUGACUUGUAUGAAAGAUUUAAUGAGAUAUAAACUGUCUUAAUUUUAAAUUGUAGAAUUUAAUUUUUUAGUUAAAAAGCUAAAAUAGUUUAAAAAGACGAGAAGACCCUAUAGAGUUUAAUUUUGAUUUAAAUUUAUAAGUUUAUUUAAAUUAAAAAUUGAAAUUUUAAUUAAAAUUUUGUUGGGGUGAUAGAAAAAUUUAAUAAACUUUUUUUUUAUAAAUUACAUAGAUAAGUGAUUAUUUGAUCCAUUUUUAUUGAUUAUAAGAUUAAAUUACCUUAGGGAUAACAGCGUAAUUUUUUUUUUUAGUUCAUAUAAGAAAAAAAGUUUGCGACCUCGAUGUUGGAUUAAGAUAAAAUUUAAAUGUAGAAGUUUAAAAUUUUGA